rnacentral:tRNA from 2 species
AAACGAAAAAUAGAUUUUUACUAUGUUUGGUUACGGUCCAAAAAGAUUCCUCGUUUU